AUUGAACGCUGGCGGCAUGCUUUACACAUGCAAGUCGAACGGGCUGGGGGCAACUCCAGUCAGUGGCGAACGGGUGAGUAAUACAUCGGAACGUACCUCGUAGUGGGGGAUAACUCGGCGAAAGCCGUGCUAAUACCGCAUAUGCUCUACGGAGGAAAGCAGGGGACCGUAACAGGCCUUGUGCUAUGGGAGCGGCCGAUGUCCGAUUAGCUAGUUGGUGAGGUAAUGGCUCACCAAGGCGACGAUCGGUAGCUGGUCUGAGAGGAUGAUCAGCCACACUGGGACUGAGACACGGCCCAGACUCCUACGGGAGGCAGCAGUGGGGAAUUUUGGACAAUGGGGGCAACCCUGAUCCAGCCAUGCCGCGUGCGGGAAGAAGGCCU
rnacentral:rRNA from 1 species